AGAGUGUCCAGCCUGGUUCUUUCACUUAUUAAAGCCGGGACUGUGGGGAACUAUUUCCUGCUUCAGGGAAUCCUUGGGCGCAAAGUGCGCCCCCACAGCUCGACGAACAAGUCCCUUCCACAUGGAUCAGCUGUCGUCCAACUGUGUCAGCAGAGUCAUGACGUCUUAUUUCUGGAUGUUUCCACUCUGUGACCUAAACCAGCAUGUGAAGUGGGCUUCAAUCUUCAGGAACAUCUCAGGGUCUCCAUGUCUGCGAGGCGGCUGUUGGCCCAGGACGACAGGUUAAAUAUAACCUCGGAUGAUGUCCUAAGAGCCUGGUGAAGAGGUAGCGUCUGCCAGCAUGGCAGCCGUCGGCACCUCAUCCGCCCGCCGUCCUGUCUGCCUUGCAGCCCUACAGUUGUGGCCAGAGGCCCAGUUGGCCUGAGCUCCUGCUGCUGUGGAGUGAGAAGGAUGGGGGGCCUCUGAGCGGCCUUCUGGCUCUGGAACAGGGGGAUUCUCCUGCACACAAGCCGGAGGGCAGACAUCUGAUCCCCGCAGCUCACAUCUUCCAUCAUUCGGGCCCACAGGCCUGCUCCUCGUGGAUGCGUUGUUGAAGUGCCAGCCAGUUCCAAGCAGCUGUGUGGCCCGACCUGCCCUGAGGGUUGGCGACACCAACCAGCUCCAGGGGCCGCUCCAGGGCUUGGACAUAAGGUGUGGCCCUAAAAAGAUGAAGAAGAGGAAGAAGAAGAAAUAAACAAUGAAUCUUGGAACAUCAGAAAGGAAGAAAAAACAAUACACAUAAAGAAUAAAAAUAUAGCUCCAAGAUUGUACACACUUCGGGGGAGGAAGCCCUAGUGAUGGGCGCUCACCAGAUGAACAAUUCAGUGGUCACAGAUGUAGCUGUGAACAUGUGAUCCAUCAUCUCGUGGACAACAAAAGACUUUUUCCAGGACCAGCAAUGAUUUCCAUGUGCUCACAAGGCUUUAUGAAUGUGCUGUCCCGCCCGUAGGUCAGCCCGGCGAUGCAUUCUCUGCGCUUCGCGACUUAGGGGAGCUCAAAAAAGAGGACUGAGACUUAUGGUGUCAAAGAUUGCCUUUACUGCUAACUUACUAGCUUGGGAGGCUGUGCCCUAGUUUUCUUCCGAACAAAAAUAAGAGAAAUAACACUUGGCUGAGUGUCUUGCUUCUCCUUUUGGACGGGACAUUGAAAGGACACCAAAACCCUUCUCAGAGGUUCUAAAGGAAAUGUAUGUUGUCCGGAUGUGGAAAAUCAGGAGUGCUACUUUCAGAGGAAUGAAUGUGCCUUACUUCUCUAAUGAAAGAGAGAGAGAGAAGAUUUUUCUAGAUGCUCCAGAGGCAGAACCUUUCAUUGCGACCUGGUAUUGGGUUGGGAAUUUAUCUACACUGUUUGUCAGUAGAAGAUUUGAGAAUUUUUGCUCUGGCUUCCAGAGUUCUUAAGAAAUUGCCAGAUUUUGUGCAAACACCUACCCUUCUCUUCCCUUCCUCAAGAGAGCUCGCUGCGAAUCUGGUUUCAGCCUCACACCCAUUUGAUAGAUCAGGGACCGAGGAAGUAGAACAAGGCUGCUUGAGAGCUGGAGAGGAAACUCAGGCUGGAUCUGGUCUUGACCCACCCACGAGGAAGAGGAAAAAGGAGACACUUUCACUUAUUUGGCAGCCCCUUGGGGAGCCGGACAUGGAGCCCAGGCCUGUGCGUGGCUCUGUCCUGCAGCUCCCAGGGGACAGCAAGGACCUAGGUGUGCUUGGGACAGUCACAAACACUGGAUUUGCAGCUGGAGACCUACGGCCCUUGCUUGUUUAAUGCUUGGUCAUUAGUUUGGUGGCUCUAUUUGGAAGAGAACCUAUAAUGUGAUCUUGAGCGUGUCCCCAGCCCAGCCCUCCAGGGAUGCCUCUGUCCCUCUGUGACCUUCGGGAUGGUCCCUGGUAUUCCCAGCCCUUCUCGAUUUGUCCCAUUCCCUCCCCCAGGCUCCUUUCCUACCCGUCCCUGGCUCCCCCCCACCUCACCUGUGCUCUAUGAGAACAAAGACAUCAGCUAACAAA
rnacentral:lncRNA from 9 species